rnacentral:rRNA from 1 species
AGUGAACGCUGGCGGUAGGCCUAACACAUGCAAGUCGAACGGCAGCACAGUAAGAGCUUGCUCUUACGGGUGGCGAGUGGCGGACGGGUGAGGAAUACAUCGGAAUCUACUUUUUCGUGGGGGAUAACGUAGGGAAACUUACGCUAAUACCGCAUACGACCUACGGGUGAAAGCAGGGGAUCUUCGGACCUUGCGCGAUUGAAUGAGCCGAUGUCGGAUUAGCUAGUUGGCGGGGUAAAGGCCCACCAAGGCGACGAUCCGUAGCUGGUCUGAGAGGAUGAUCAGCCACACUGGAACUGAGACACGGUCCAGACUCCUACGGGAGGCAGCAGUGGGGAAUAUUGGACAAUGGGCGCAAGCCUGAUCCAGCCAUACCGCGUGGGUAAAGAAGGCCUUCGGAUUGUAAAGCCCUUUUGUUGGGAAAGAAAAGCAGCAGGUUAAUACCCCGCUGUUCUGACGGUACCCAAAGAAUAAGCACCGGCUAACUUCGUG